rnacentral:rRNA from 1 species
CGCAAGACCGCGAGGUUUAGCAAAUCUCUUAAAGCCGUUCUCAGUUCGGAUUGUAGGCUGCAACUCGCCUACAUGAAGUCGGAAUCGCUAGUAAUCGCGGAUCAGCAUGCCGCGGUGAAUACGUUCCCGGGCCUUGUACACACCGCCCGUCACACCAUGAGAGUUGGGAAUACCCGAAGCCUGUGAGCUAACGUUAAGAGGCAGCAGUCGAAGGUAGAAUCAAUGAUUGGGGUGAAGUCGUAACAAGGUAUC